AACGUAGGUGGCGAGCGUUAUCCGGAAUUACUGGGCGUAAAGCGUGCGCAGGCGGCGCGUUUAAGACAGGUGUGAAAGCCCCGAGCUUAACUUGGGAAUUGCGCUUGUGACUGGCGUGCUGGAGUGUGGCAGAGGGGAGGUGGAAUUCCACGUGUAGCAGUGAAAUGCGUAGAGAUGUGGAGGAACACCGAUGGCGAAGGCAGCCUCCUGGGCCAGCACUGACGCUCAUGCACGAAAGCGUGGGGAGCAACAGG
rnacentral:rRNA from 1 species